rnacentral:misc_RNA from 1 species
CGCACAUUGCGCCUUUUGGUAUUCCGAGAGGCAUGCCUGUUCGAGCGUCAUUUGUACCCUCAAGCUCUGCUUGGUGUUGGAGGCCGCCCCAGUGGGGCGCCCCCGAAAGUUAGCGGCGACGUAGCCGGCUCCCUGGCGUAGUGACUGCUGUCGCCCCGGAGUCGGUCGUGCGUCCGCCGGACAACAACCACUUAUGAAAUCGACCUCGGAUCAGGUAGGACUACCCGCUGAACUUAA